GGCGGCGUAGCUCAGUUGGUUAGAGCGCGGGAUUCAUAAGCCUGAGGUCGAAGGUUCGACUCCUUCCGCCGCUA
rfam:Planctomycetes bacterium GWF2_50_10 gwf2_scaffold_2366, whole genome shotgun sequence.